rnacentral:rRNA from 1 species
GAGUUUGAUCCUGGCUCAGAUUGAACGCUGGCGGCAUGGCUAAAACAUGCAAGUCGAACGGGAUCGCAAGAUCUAGUGGCGGAAGGGUGAGUAAUAGUAUCGAACGUGCCCCGAGGUGGGGGAUAGGCAUGGGAAACUGUGCGUAAUACCCCAUGAUUUCUAAGGAACAAAGCUUCGGCGCCUUGGGAGCGGCGAUAUUCCUAUCAGGUAGUUGGCGGGGUAAUGGCCCACCAAGCCGAAGACGGGUAGCCGGUAUGAGAGUACGGCCGGCCACAUCGGGACUGAGACACUGCCCGGACUCCUACGGGAGGCUGCAGUAACGAAUAUUCCACAAUGCACGAAAGUGUGAUGGAGCAAUGCCGCGUGCGGGAUGAAGCAUCUUUGGUGUGUAAACCGCUGUCAGGAGAUAGAAAUACUGAUCAUCUCCAGAGGAAGUGGCGACUAACUCUGUGCCAGCAGUCGCGGUAAUACAGAGGCCACAAGCGUUAAUCGGAAUCACUGGGCUUAAAGGGUGCGUAGGCGGACUCGUAAGUGCUUUGUGAAAGCCCUCGGCUCAACCGAGGAACUGCAGAGCAUACUGCGAGUCUUGAGGAAUCUAGAGGCCGGCAGAACGAUAGGUGGAGCGGUGGAAUGCGUAGAGAUCUAUCGGAAUGCCAAAGGUGAAGACAGCCGGCUGGGGAUUUCCUGACGCUGAGGCCACGAAAGCGUGGGGAGCAAACAGGAUUAGAUACCCUGGUAGUCCACGCCCUAAACAAUGCGCAUUAGACCGAUGCAGGUCUGACCCUGUAUUGGUCGUAGAGAAAUUGAUAAAUGCGCCG